UACGUAGGGUGCAAGCGUUGCCCGGAUUUAUUGGGCGUAAAGGGCGCGUAGGCGGCUCGGCACGUCCGUUGUGAAAUCGCCCGGCUCAACUGGGCGGGGUCAGCGGAUACGGUCGAGCUUGAGCAAGCUAGGGGGCAAUGGGAAUUCCCGGUGUAGUGGUGGAAUGCGUAGAUAUCGGGAGGAACACCAGUGGCGAAGGCGGUUACCUGGAGCUUUGCUGACGCUGAUGCGCGAAAGCGUGGGGAGCGAGUCCGG
rnacentral:rRNA from 1 species